rnacentral:rRNA from 1 species
AUUGAACGCUGGCGGCAGGCCUAACACAUGCAAGUCGAACGAGUGGCGGACGGGUGAGUAAUGUCUGGGAACCUGCCCGCUGGAGGGGGAUAACUACUGGAAACGGUAGCUAAUACCGCAUACCAUCGGAUGUGCCCAGGUGGGAUUAGCUAGGCGGUGGGGUAACGGCUCACCUAGGCGACGAUCCCUACCUGGUCUGAGAGGAUGACCAGCCACACUGGAACUGAGACACGGUCCAGACUCCUACGGGAGGCAGCAGUGGGGAAUCUUGCGCAAUGGUCGCAAGCCUGAUGCAGCCAUGCCGCGUGUAUGAAGAAGGCCUUCGGGUUGUAAAGUACUGUCAGCGGAGAGGCGGUACCCGAAGAAGAAGCACCGGCUAACUCCGUGCCAGCAGCCGCGGUAAUUC